AGUGAACGCUGGCGGUAGGCCUAACACAUGCAAGUCGAACGGCAACGCACUUAGGGCUUGCUACUACGGGUGGAGAGGGGAGGAUGACAGAGGAAUGCACCGGAAUCUACUUUUUGAUGGGGGUAAACGUAUGGGAAUAUUCCAUACUACCGCAUACUGCAAGCGGGUGAAAGCAGGGGAUUUUCGGGACUUGGGCGCUUGAGUGAGCCGAUGUCGGAUUAGCUAGUUGGCGGGGUAAAGGCUCACCAAGGCGACGAUCCGUAGCUGGUCUGAGAGGAUGAUCAGCCACACUGGGACUGAGACACGGCCCAGACUCCUACGGGAGGCAGCAGUGGGGAAUAUUGGACAAUGGGCGCAAGCCUGAUCCAGCCAUGCCGCGUGGAGGAAGAAGGCCUUCGGGUUGUAAAACGCUUUUGUUGGGAAAGAAAAGCAUCAGGUUAAUACACGGCUGUUCUGACGGUACCGAAAGAAUAAGCACCGGCUAACUACGUG
rnacentral:rRNA from 1 species